rnacentral:misc_RNA from 1 species
GAUGAAGAACGCAGCGAAAUGCGAUAAGUAAUGUGAAUUGCAGAAUCCAGUGAAUCAUCGAAUCUUUGAACGCACAUUGCGCCCGCCAGUAUUCUGGCGAGCAUGCCUGUUCGAGCGUCAUUUCAACCAUCAAGCCCCAGGCUUGUGUUGGAGCCCUGCGGCUGCCGCAGCCUCCCAAAACCAGUGGCGGGCUCGCUAUCACACCGAGUGCAGUAGUUUACUCUUCGCUCAGGGCGUGUGGCGGGUGCUAGCCGUGAAACCCCCAACUUCUCAAGGUUGACCUCGGAUCAGGUAGGAAUACCCGCUGAACUUAAGCAUAUCAAUAAGCGGAGGA